ACUGGAGUUUAUCCUGGCUCAGGACGAACGCUUGCGGCGUGCCUAAGAAAUGCAAGUCGAACGGGGACUUCGGUCCUAGUGGCGAACGGUCGCGUAACACGUAAGCGACCUGCCCUGAAGUGGGGGACAACAUCCCGAAAGGGGUGCCAAUACCGCAUGUGGUCACGAGUCGGCAUCGACUUGUGUCUAAAGAUUUAUCGCUUCAGGAUGGGCUUGCGGCCUAUCAGGUAGUUGGUGAGGUAAUGGCUCACCAAGGCGACGACGGGUAGCCGGCCUGAGAGGGCGACCGGCCACACUGGGACUGAGACACGGCCCAGACUCUACGGGGAGCAGCAGUGGGGAAUAUUGGGCAAUGGAGGAAACUCUGACCCAGCGACGCCGCGUGCGGGAUGAAGGCCUUCGGGGUUGUAAACCGCUUUCGAGUAGGAACGAAGCGAAAGUGACGGUACCUACGAGAAGAACGCACCGGCU
rnacentral:rRNA from 1 species